UGGGGAAUAUUGCACAAUGGGGGAAACCCUGAUGCAGCGACGCCGCGUGAGUGAAGAAGUAUUUCGGUAUGUAAAGCUCUAUCAGCAGGGAAGAAAAUGACGGUACCUGACUAAGAAGCCCCGGCUAACUACGUGCCAGCAGCCGCGGUAAUACGUAGGGGGCUAGCGUUAUCCGGAUUUACUGGGUGUAAAGGGAGCGUAGACGGAAUUGCAAGUCUGAUGUGAAAAUCCGGGGCCCAACCCCGGAACUGCAUUGGAAACUGUAUUUCUAGAGUGUCGGAGAGGCAAGUGGAAUUCCUGGUGUAGCGGUGAAAUGCGUAGAUAUCAGGAGGAACACCAGUGGCGAAGGCGGCUUGCUGGACGAUGACUGACGUUGAGGCUCGAAAGCGUGGGGAGCAAACAGG
rnacentral:rRNA from 1 species